rnacentral:rRNA from 1 species
CAGCCGCCGCGGUAAUGCGUAGGUCCCGAGCGUUGUCCGGAUCUAUUGGGCGUAAAGGGAGCGCAGGCGGUUUAGUAAGUCUGAAGUUAAAGGCAUUGGCUCAACCAAUGUAUGCUUUGGAAACUGUUAGACUUGAGUGCAGAAGGGGAGAGUGGAAUUCCAUGUGUAGCGGUGAAAUGCGUAGAUAUAUGGAGGAACACCGGUGGCGAAAGCGGCUCUCUGGUCUGUCACUGACGCUGAGGCUCGAAAGCGUGGGUAGCGAACAGGAUUAGAUACCCCAGUAGUCCCUGUCUCUUAUACA